GAGGGCACAGCUCAGUGGUAGAGCACGUGCUUAUUAGCAAGCAUGACAUCCUAGGUUCAAUCCCCGGUACCUCCA
rnacentral:tRNA from 1 species